UUGGCAUUUAAAUAUAUACAUAUAUACUUCUUAUUCUGACUGUAAAAGUGUCCCAACUCUCUUCUCCUUGGCUUGUCUAUAAGUACAGAAGCUGUUUCCCAGCAUGUAGUAGUGGCUAUGAGACUAGAUCUUACCAGUGAGUUAUAAGAAGUCUAUCAAUUCAUCUAUUAGGGGAUUUUGAAUAUAUGAUGACUUGAUUUCUUAAUCCAAUUCCUAUAUAUUCUUAUUAAAGGAACAGAAUAAUUUCCCCCAGGGAGGUCCACAGUUUGACCAUGUUCUCAGAGUGAUCUACAUUCUGGUCUCUCUGAGGUCACAGAGACAUUACAGCCUGCAUGUCUCCAUGGAUUUGUUAGGGAAGAAGUGACCAAGCAUGGUCUCAGAAACACAGAAAGCAGAUUAGGGGUUACUAAGGUGUAGGAUUAAGAAGAAAUACCUGCUUAAUGGCUAUGGAUUUUCCUUUUGGAGUGAUGAAAAGGUUUUGAAACAGGAUGGUGGAAGAAGAGGGAUAGAGAAUGGUAUGGUAGCAAGGGCAUGUAUAUGCAAGAAUCACAAACUGAUGAAGACCAAGAAUUCUCCACACUCUUUUCUUCUGCUCUCCCAUGUUUUACAUAGCAGUAUUGAUUGUGGAAUGGACUGUCCUCAUGUCAGACCCUAGAGAAAAGGAAAGAAAUCUGUAGUAACUUAA